UACGGAGGAUGCAAGCGUUAUCCGGAAUUAUUGGGCGUAAAGCGUCCGCAGGUGGCUUUUCAAGUCUGUUGUCAAAGCGCGGGGCUUAACUCCGUACAGGCAAUGGAAACUGUGAAGCUAGAGUAUGGUAGGGGUAGAGGGAAUUCCCGGUGUAGCGGUGAAAUGCGUAGAUAUCGGGAAGAACACCAGUGGCGAAAGCGCUCUGCUGGACCAUAACUGACACUGAGGGACGAAAGCUAGGGGAGCGAAAGGG
rnacentral:rRNA from 1 species